rnacentral:rRNA from 1 species
GAUGAACGCUGGCGGCGUGCCUAAUACAUGCAAGUCGAGCGAACAGACGAGGAGCUUGCUCCUCUGACGUUAGCGGCGGACGGGUGAGUAACACGUGGAUAACCUACCUAUAAGACUGGGAUAACUUCGGGAAACCGGAGCUAAUACCGGAUAAUAUAUUGAACCGCAUGGUUCAAUAGUGAAUGACGGUUUUGCUGUCACUUAUAGAUGGAUCCGCGCCGCAUUAGCUAGUUGGUAAGGUAACGGCCUACCAAGGCGACGAUGCGUAGCCGACCUGAGAGGAUGAUCAGCCACACUGGAACUGAGACACGGUCCAGACUCCUACGGGAGGCAGCAGUAGGGAAUCUUCCGCAAUGGGCGAAAGCCUGACGGAGCAACGCCGCGUGAGUGAUGAAGGUCUUCGGAUCGUAAAGCUCUGUUAUUAGGAAAGAACAAAUGUGUAAGUAACUAUGCACGUCUUGACGGUACCUAAUCAGAAAGCCACGGCUAACUACGUG